UACGUAGGGUGCAAGCGUUGUCCGGAAUUAUUGGGCGUAAAGAGCUCGUAGGCGGUGUGUCGCGUCGGCCGUGAAAACCUGCAGCUUAACUGUGGGCUUGCGGUCGAUACGGGCAUCACUGGAGUUCGGCAGGGGAGACUGGAAUUCCUGGUGUAGCGGUGAAAUGCGCAGAUAUCAGGAGGAACACCGGUGGCGAAGGCGGGUCUCUGGGCCGAUAUUGACGCUGAGGAGCGAAAGCGUGGGGAGCGAACAGG
rnacentral:rRNA from 1 species